rnacentral:misc_RNA from 1 species
AACUUGCGUUAGAGAUAGAACGGUGUGUUUGAGCUCUUUUUUAGUUUUUUCAACUAAAAAAAGCGAGUAGAGAUAGCGCGACCUGAA